AAAGCCCACGACACCUUGCUCAGCCACACCCUCAAGGGUAUUCAGCAGUGACAGACAUUAAGCUAUAAGUGAAAACUUGACUUAGUCAAGGCUAAGAGGGUCGGUAAAACUCGUGCCAGCCACCGCGGUUAUACGAGAGACCCAAGUUGAUAGUUUCCGGCGUAAAGAGUGGUUAAGAUAAAAUUUAAACUAGAGCCGAACGCUUUCAGAGCUGUUAUACGCCCCGAAAGUAAGAAGUUCAAUCACGAAAGUGGCUUUAUAAUUACUGAACCCACGAAAGCUAUGAAACAAACUGGGAUUAGAUACCCCACUAUGCCUAGCCCUAAACAUUGAUAGUAUAGUACACCUACUAUCCGCCUGGGUACUACGAGCACCAGCUUAAAACCCAAAGGACUUGGCGGUGCUUUAGAUCCACCUAGAGGAGCCUGUCCUAUAACCGAUAACCCCCGUUUAACCUCACCCUUAAUUGCUCAUACC
rnacentral:rRNA from 1 species